AUCACCUUGAAUGGCCACCUAUAAGAAUAGAAACUGAAUUGUUGUAAUAAUUCGACUCUUCCUUCUCUACAGUUGCUCUGAGUUCCAGCAGUCCAGUGUCCACCACUCUCUUCUCAAGUCAAAGGAGAUGCUCAGCAGUCCCAUAGGAUCAGUAACAGCACAGCACCAUUGCCAAGCCACAUGGAAGCAUGAAGCAAAAGAAAACAUCAGUAAUAUUGAUUUUGUCUUAAUUUACAAUGUUAAUAUGUUGUUCAUCAUGGAUUUCCCACAUUAAUUUUGAUUUAAUAAAAUAUUACAUUAUCAUUUACCUUGAUU
rnacentral:lncRNA from 1 species